UGGGGAAUAUUGCGCAAUGGGCGAAAGCCUGACGCAGCAACACCGCGUGAGGGAUGACGGCCUUCGGGUUGUAAACCUCUUUCAGCUCCGACGAAGCGAAAGUGACGGUAGGAGCAGAAGAAGCACCGGCUAACUACGUGCCAGCAGCCGCGGUAAUACGUAGGGUGCAAGCGUUGUCCGGAAUUAUUGGGCGUAAAGAGCUCGUAGGCGGUCCGUUGCGUCUGCCGUGAAAACCCGGAGCUCAACUCCGGGCCUGCGGUGGAUACGGGCGGACUAGAGUCCGGUAGGGGAGACUGGAAUUCCUGGUGUAGCGGUGGAAUGCGCAGAUAUCAGGAGGAACACCGGUGGCGAAGGCGGGUCUCUGGGCCGGAACUGACGCUGAGGAGCGAAAGCGUGGGGAGCGAACAGGAUUAGAUACCCUGGUAGUCCACGCCGUAAACCGGUGGGCGCUAGGUGUGGGGUAGUCGUUUCCACGAUCUCCGUGCCGUAGCUAACGCAUU
rnacentral:rRNA from 1 species